rnacentral:rRNA from 1 species
AGGACGAACGCUGGCGGCGUGCUUAACACAUGCAAGUCGAGCGGAAAGGCCCUUCGGGGUACUCGAGCGGCGAACGGGUGAGUAACACGUGAGCAACCUGCCCUUAGCUUCGGGAUAGCUCCGGGAAACCGGAAUUAAUACCGGAUAUGACUAUGGCCGACAUCAGCCAUGGUGGAAAGUUUUUCGGCUAGGGAUGGACUCGCGGCCUAUCAGCUAGUUGGUGAGGUAACGGCUCACCAAGGCGACGACGGGUAGCCGGCCUGAGAGGGCGACCGGCCACACUGGGACUGAGACACGGCCCAGACUCCUACGGGAGGCAGCAGUGGGGAAUAUUGCGCAAUGGGCGAAAGCCUGACGCAGCGACGCCGCGUGGGGAUGAAUGCCUUCGGGUUGUAAACCCUUUCAGCAGGACGAAGCGAAGUGACGGUACCUGCAGAAGAAGCGCCGGCUAACUACGUGCCAGCAGCCGC